UGGGGAAUAUUGCACAAUGGGCGCAAGCCUGAUGCAGCCAUGCCGCGUGUGUGAAGAAGGCCUUCGGGUUGUAAAGCACUUUCAGCGGGGAGGAAGGCGGUGAGGUUAAUAACCUCAUCGAUUGACGUUACCCGCAGAAGAAGCACCGACUAACUCCGUGCCAGCAGCCGCGGUAAUACGGAGGGUGCAAGCGUUAAUCGGAAUUACUGGGCGUAAAGCGCACGCAGGCGGUUUGUUAAGUCAGAUGUGAAAUCCCCGGGCUCAACCUGGGAACUGCAUCUGAUACUGGCAAGCUUGAGUCUCGUAGAGGGGGGUAGAAUUCCAGGUGUAGCGGUGAAAUGCGUAGAGAUCUGGAGGAAUACCGGUGGCGAAGGCGGCCCCCUGGACGAAGACUGACGCUCAGGUGCGAAAGCGUGGGGAGCAAACAGG
rnacentral:rRNA from 1 species